rnacentral:rRNA from 1 species
AUUGAACGCUGGCGGCAGGCCUAACACAUGCAAGUCGAGCGGAUGAAGCGAGCUUGCUCCUGGAUUCAGCGGCGGACGGGUGAGUAAUGCCUAGGUAACUGCCUGGUAGCGGGGGAUAACGUCCGGAAAAGGGCGCUAAUUCCGCAUAAGUCCUGCGGGAGAAAGUGGGGGAUCUUCGGACUUCACGCUAUCAGAUGAGCCUAGGUCGGGUUGGCUAGUUGGUGGGGUAAAGGCCUACCACGGCGACGAUCCGUAACUGGUCUGUGAGGAUGAUCAGUGACACUGGGAGUGAGACGCGGUCCAGAGACCGACGGGAGGCAGCGGUUGGGAAGGUUGGACGAUGGGCGGAAGCCUGAUCCAGCCGUGGCGCGUGGAUGAAGAAGGGCUGCGGGUGGGAAGGCACUUUAAGUUUUGAGGAAGGGCAGUAAUUUAAUAGCUGGCUGGUGUGACGUUACCAACAGAAGAAGCACCGGCUAACUUCGUG